GGCUCUCCUGAGAUAUAUAUAUAUAUAUAUAUAUAUAUAUAUAUAUAUAUAUAUAUAUAUGAGCUGGAGGGGGCCUU